UACGUAGGGGGCGAGCGUUGUCCGAAGUUACUGGGCGUAAAGAGUGCGUAGGCGGCUUGACAAGUUGCAUCUAAAAGGCGGCAGCUCAACUGACGAGUGCGGUGCAAGACUGUAAAGCUUGAGGCAAGCAGAAGGAUGUGGAACUCCGAGUGUAGCGGUGGAAUGCGUAGAGAUUCGGAAGAACACCCAUGGCGAAGGCAGCAUUCUGGGCUUGACCUGACGCUGAGGCACGAAAGCCAGGGGAGCGAACGGG
rnacentral:rRNA from 1 species